AAAUGCGAUAAGUAAUGUGAAUUGCAGAAUUCAGUGAAUCAUCGAAUCUUUGAACGCACAUUGCGCCCGCCAGUAUUCUGGCGGGCAUGCCUGUCCGAGCGUCAUUUCAACCAUCAAGCCCCCGGGCUUGUGUUGGGGACCUGCGGCUGCCCGCAGGCCCCGAAAACCAGUGGCGGGCUCGCUGUCACACCGAGCGUAGUAGCAAUCACCUCGCUCAGGGCGUGCUGCGGGUUCCGGCCGUUAAACAGCCUUACAAAACCCAAGGUUGACCUCGGAUCAGGUAGGAAGACCCGCUGAACUUAAGC
rnacentral:misc_RNA from 1 species